rnacentral:rRNA from 1 species
CCUACGGGUGGCAGCAGUGAGGAAUAUUGGUCAAUGGGCGGAAGCCUGAACCAGCCAUGUAGCGUGCAGGAUGACGGCCCUACGGGUUGUAAACUGCUUUUAUACGGGAAUAACGCGCCUUACGUGUAGGUCUUUACAUGUACCGUAUGAAUAAGGACCGGCUAAUUCCGUGCCAGCAGCCGCGGUAAUACGGAGGGUCCGGGCGUUAUCCGGAUUUAUUGGGUUUAAAGGGUGCGUAGGCGGCAUGUCAAGCGUGCUGUGAAAUGUCCGGGCGCAACCCGGGCCUUGUAGCGCGAACUGGUGGGCUUGAGACCGCGGAAGGCAGGCGGAAUGCGUCGUGUAGCGGUGAAAUGCUUAGAUAUGACGAAGAACACCGAUUGCGAAGGCAGCUUGCUGCAGCGGAACUGACGCUGAUGCUCGAAAGCGCGGGUAUCGAACAGGAUUAGAUACCCCAGUAGUC